rnacentral:ncRNA from 1 species
CACCUGGUUGAUCCUGCCAGUAGUCAUAUGCUUGUCUCAAAGAUUAAGCCAUGCAUGUCUAAGUAUAAGCUUUAAACGGCGAAACUGCGAAUGGCUCAUUAAAACAGUUAUAGUUUAUUUGGUGAUCGAUUACUAUUUGGAUAACCGGUAGUAAUUCUAGAGCUAAUACAUGCGUCAAGGCCCGACUUCGGAAGGGCUGC